UACGUAGGGGGCUAGCGUUGUCCGGAAUCAUUGGGCGUAAAGCACGUGUAGGCGGCCCGGUAAGUCCGCUGUGAAAGUCGGGGGCUCAACCCUCGGAUGCCGGUGGAUACUGUCGGGCUCGAGUACGGAAGAGGCGAGUGGAAUUCCUGGUGUAGCGGUGAAAUGCGCAGAUAUCAGGAGGAACACCAAUUGCGAAGGCAGCUCGCUGGGACGUUACUGACGCUGAGACGCGAAAGCGUGGGGAGCAAACAGG
rnacentral:rRNA from 1 species